ensembl:lncRNA AABR07020987.1
CUCUCCAUCUGUCCUAAGAAGACCAGAAAACAGGAAGGAGAUGGCCCCGAGAGACCACACAGCUGACCUCAGCAGGCCUCGGGCUGAGACUGAAUCAGCAGAUGCUAGCCUCCUGUCUUCUUGGCAACCCCAUGUGCCUGUGUGAGUUUUCCUGGUUUCCUUACUCCUUCCUAAAUGGAACCUUCUCCAGUUCUGCUAAAUCAGCACCCACUCUUCUGCUACAUACCUCUACUGAACCCCAGUGUCAACUCCCAUCUAUAAAUCCACAACUGCCAGGCGAGAGGGUCCCCAGAUCUGUGUGAGGAACAGCACUCUGACUUAUGCUUAACGUUGUGUCUAUCAGCCCUGGUAUCAAUGAUGUCACCUAAGAAAGCUAUUUCCUUCCUUCUUCCUUCUCUAAACCAUUCCCGUCUUCAAAAAUCAACUCACUGAAGAGUGGUAAGUCGAGUGACUGAUAGAAAAUUGUCAGGAAGUAAAACAGCAUUUAGUUCCUACUGACCAUCCAUGAGUCGCCCCAAGAAAGUAGGAAGAAGGAAGCUUACAGUUUCCUGGAGAGCCCUCCCUGCCUGUGGUCACAGAACAAAAGUUGGGAUGUUCAAAGGCUUGUGCCUGGCCUCUCAAACUGCUGGUCCUCUCUAGAGAGAGGGCCGAUCGCAUUUAGGCUCUGUAGGUUGUUAUGCCGGUGAAGGCAGGUACAGGAUAGAACGAGGCCUGUCAUUGGAUGAGAAGGAAGGAUGGGCGGGAGAGAAGUUUUAGAGAGGAGGAGACCAGAGCAAGAGGGAGGGAGAGGCUGAGAAAGCAUGGCAGCCAUGGCAGUGGACGUUGAGAUUUCUCUCUGCACAUUUACAGGUUGUUAUGACUUCAUACGGCAUAGACUGUACAGGAUUUUGUGCUGUUUAGAUGGGCAAUUAUAUCCUAUCAAUGGAUCAGAGGUUAUUGUGUGGUGUGUUCUUUCAUGUGGCAACUUAAUUGAGUUCAAGAGAGUGUGUGGCGGCGGGACACUGAGCCUGCCAUGGAAUUGGGAUGCGUAUGCCUGGCAUGGUGAAGCCUGCCUUGGGAACUAGAUGGGUAGAGAGAUUGCUGCCGGGCUCAGAGAGUAGCCAUCAGCAGUGUGAUAUGGGAUGGAGCUUAGCCGGUGAGACACUUUGUUGACUGAGAUGAAAAUAUCCCACGGAUGCAGCGUGGCCCUACGGUGCCAGCACUAGGGUGGGAAAAAAGAAACCUUUUUUAAAAUUAUACCACAACAGGGCAAGAAAC